GUAACUCUAAUAUAAUUAAGAAAGGAAAACAAUGGAAUCUACCCUUUUGGCAAUCUUUACGAAAUCCUAAAUAAAUAAAUAAAAGCUGAAAAGCAUUAAGUUUCAAGAUGCAAAAGAAAAAAAAAAAAAGCUAGCAAAGGAGACGACAGGAGCGAGUGAGAGCCACGUGACUAAGAUGUGUAAAACUAAAAGAAUGGGAGCGAGUAUAAAACUAAACAGCCAAAAAGAACUUGUAUAAAUUAGAUACGCCAGAAACAUUCACGUGGGAGAUCACGUGAUGGAGCGACCACGUGUCACACUCACAAGUGACAUAAUAGAGGAUGGUUUAGUUAGUAGUAUAGUAUUAUGAAUCUUCGCACCACCCCGGCGCGUGUCUCGUUGUCUCUCUCACACCGGACACCAAUCAUUUGAUGCGACACGAGCUUCCAACUACAAUUACAAUUCUGA
rnacentral:lncRNA from 1 species